CUUGUCUUAGAAUAAACACAUAUUGUUUACCAGAGGAAGAUGUAUACCGUCUUUUGCCUUGCUCAUUUUUCCCUCUUUAUAUCUUAGAAGGAUCUAGCCUCCUUUAGUAUCCUUAUAUAGUUUAUCCUUAGUGGAGUAUUCUCUGAGAUAUCUUAGGAAGUAUCUUAACACUAUAUACAAAUCCGAAGCCAACACAAGUAUCUCUGAGGACGCUAUUAGUCCCUUUUCAAUAGUAUCUCUCCACUUUAUG